rnacentral:rRNA from 1 species
UACCGCAUACGUCCUACGGGAGAAAGCAGGGGACCUUCGGGCCUUGCGCUAUCAGAUGAGCCUAGGUCGGAUUAGCUAGUUGGUGAGGUAAUGGCUCACCAAGGCGACGAUCCGUAACUGGUCUGAGAGGAUGAUCAGUCACACUGGAACUGAGACACGGUCCAGACUCCUACGGGAGGCAGCAGUGGGGAAUAUUGGACAAUGGGCGAAAGCCUGAUCCAGCCAUGCCGCGUGUGUGAAGAAGGUCUUCGGAUUGUAAAGCACUUUAAGUUGGGAGGAAGGGCAGUUACCUAAUACGUGAUUGUUUUGACGUUACCGACAGAAUAAGCACCGGCUAACUCUGUGCCAGCAGCCGCGGUAAUACAGAGGGUGCAAGCGUUAAUCGGAAUUACUGGGCGUAAAGCGCGCGUAGGUGGUUAGUUAAGUUGGAUGUGAAAUCCCCGGGCUCAACCUGGGAACUGCAUUCAAAACUGACUGACUAGAGUAUGG